GUCUACGGCCAUACCACCCUGAACACAUCCGAUCUCGUCUGAUCUCGGAAGCUAAACAGGGUUGGACACCUUGCCCAUUUCUAGCCUGUGUCUCUCUACUUCUUGUGCCUGCUUCAAGGUAUGAGUCCUAAGCC
rnacentral:rRNA from 1 species